rnacentral:lncRNA from 1 species
UUAGAGAUAAAAUUUGGGAACUUAAGAAUUCAGUUUUUGAGAAUUAAAAACAAAAUGUGAGGUCUUUUCUUUACUGUUGAGUAUCAGAAUUAGUAAUGUUACCACUUCAUUGGUUAUUGCUGGAUUUUCUGCUUGGGGUUUAAAUCUAUUCUUGGGUUCUUCCUGCACUGUCGGUUACUGGUUUACUGCUUUGGUUGCUGAACCUGUUGUUAUUGUGUUGUGCUACUGCUGCACUACUGACUUCUUCAUCUUCUUUGUAUUCCAAUACCAGGUACACCACUUUGAAUCACUUUAAUGUACGUCUUGAAGAUGAAAUAAAAUGGCAGAAAUUUAUGUACUUAGUUAUAGUACAUUUGUAUUUUAGUUAAACAUUAGUCAUAUAUAUUUUCCCGCUAUGCAUUAGUUAAUCUUUGAAUCUUGUUAGUAAUAAAGAUCCGGAAAUAUUAGGUAAAUAUAAUAGGCCAGUAUUUUAGUAGAAUGAACGGGCUUGAUGGUUAAUAUGUGAUUCAACGUAGCGAGGCUAAGAACAUUAAUCCAUAGGCGCGAAUUUGAGACAUAUGAGUUAAUUUUUAAGUUUAAUAAUUUUUUUAGCUUUAAUAAUUAUGGUUGAAUCUAGUUGCAAACAAUCAAUUUCAAUAGUUUUUAUAUAAUAAUGUGAGUUUUAAUCUAGCUUUAACUAAUUGCUUUUAAAUAUUAGUUGCCGAUUUUUUUUUGUUUAUUUACAAUUUCAAAUUUUUUAUAUAGUUUUAUUUAUAAUUUCGAAUUUAUUUUUUUUAUUUUCCUUUCCCCUAAUAUUUGCCUUAAUCUAGCCAUUAGUGUGUUACCCUUUUAUUUUAUUUUAAGGUCGUAAUUAAUUAGAAUUUUUCUUUAUUUAUUUUAGAAUCGAAUUUAAAUAUAAAUGUAAUCACUCUAAGAUAUCCUUACAAUAAAGGAGGCGUGCCUCGCCACAGUACAUUAUAAAUUGCGGGGCCCUCCAAUAAAGGGUUAAAAAUACUUAGAUUUCGGAGUUGAUCGCUUAGCGAAUUUUCGCGGCCUUUUCCAAAAAUAACGACACGUUAGCCUCUUUAGGACGCACCUCAAUUAAUCUUACUUUCCUAAACUUGGGUGUGCAUUUAUGCGAUCCAAAUCCAAAUCUCAACAUAUUCGAAACAUGCCGACAACCACGGGUGCAUUGGUUGUGACGUGGUUUGAGAUAUGUUUUCACAAUGUUGCAAUUCUUAGUAAAAUAAUAACAAUAAUAAUUUUAAUAAAAGCAGUUAAAAUUGGCACAUAAGGCACAACAUGUAAUAAAAUCGGAUAAAUAAGCUAAAUAUGACAGUUGAGCAACCGUGCUAGAACCACGGAACUCGCGAAUGCCUAACAUCUUCUCCCCAGUUAACAGAAUUCCUUAUCCAGAUUUCUGGUUCACAGCCUAUUAACAAAGUCAUUCUUUUCCUCGAUUCGGGAUUUAACCGAUGACUUGGGACACCAUAAAUUUCCCAAGUGGCGACUCUGAAUCUUAAUAAAUAAUCCCGUCUCGAUUGUCCUUUAAUUUGAAAAACUCCUCUACACCUUCGUGGGUACCGGAAAAAGGAUGUGCGACAGCUCUGGCGACUCUGCUGGGGAUCAUAUUAACCCAGAACCAUUGGUUCAGGAUUAGAAAUUCAAACUUGGAAAUGAUUGUUGUAUUUGGCUUGUAUAUUAUCUGAUUUUGUUACAUGUUUGGGCCUAAUGUGCUAAAUGUUGAUUUUUACCGCUUUGAUAAUUUUUGAACUAUGUAUAGAAAUUGCCUUCUCACGCACCCCCUCUGAGUCUUCUUGAAAUUAAAAUUGCGCAUUUUCUUGACAUAGCCCGCUUUCUUUGAGAUAGUUGAGGUUCUUGGCACCCGGUGAAGGACUUUAGUCACACAUAUUGUAGGCGGGGAGCGCCGCCAGUUAAGCCAGAAAGCAAUGCUACCGGAUACGCUGGCCCUACUCGGCUCGAGUUGUCCGCUCGGGUAAGCCAGGUCUAGAACAAACACCAAGGAUAAACCUAGUAUAACAAACUUCAUGCCGGAUCCCUAGUAGGAACGUUUAUUUGCAUCAUGUGUAUUUGACUUAGGGGACUCAACACAGGGGUUGGGUCUGUCUAGGACAAGCAACCUGAAGUGAAAAGACCAUCCUGCUACAUCUUGUUUGCUUUAUUCAUUUAUUUGUUCAGACUUGCAUGCAGGCCGACCUACAAAAAUUGAAAAUGUUAAAAAAUUGCGAAAAAGGGAGAGAAAUAGCAUUGUUGCAUCCUGUUUGUUUGAUGCAUUUAUUUGCUUCAAACAUGCAUGCUGGCCGGCUUUGAAUAUGGGGAAAUUUUGAAAAACAAAAACAGCAGUUGGAGAGUUAGAUGAUUAAUUUAGAAAAAAAGGAAGUCUUUUAUGUCCAAAUACUGUCGGAACUUUGCCGAAAUUUUGAGAAAAUAAAAAAAAUGUUUUACUUUUGUUUGCUUUGUUUAGAAAAGAAUCUUUUAUUUUUGCUUUGUUUUCAAAUGGAAAGGAAAAAUAGUUUGUUUGCUAUAAACGGAAAAGAAAAAAAAUAUGUUUGUUUUCAAAAAUUAGGUAGUUUAUUUCUCCAGAAUACGUAAGUUUGAUUCUCACCGGAUGUGAGAUACGUAGGCAACCCUCAUCUGGUCCAACCUCACCUUUUCAAAAAAAUAGCAAAAACUGUCAAACUUUUUAUUUUUCAUCAUAAAGAAGUUGGGUGACGCUGUCUUUUGUCCAACAUAGCGAAUGUUCUCGAAAGGGAUGCCGGAAGGCUGACUUUGUAUAAACAGUCACAUUUGGGUCAUCUUUUGGAUUUUGACCAGUUGACCCACACUACCUUAAAAAUCUUCGUCCCCGAAGUGCUGAAAGGCCGUCGUUGCAAAAUUUGGCCUUUUUUUUAAUUUGAAAAAAAGAAUUAGUAGGGAAGUGAAUGUCGUCUGAAUUUUUGGUCAAAAUAAGCCAAGCCAGCUUUGGCAGUGUCUUUAACCAUUCAGUCCAAUAUAGCCUUAGAGUGUCUUUCAUUUGUCGAAAGGCUUUUUUCGUAAAAGAACGGACAAGGUUGUAAAAAAUCCUUUCGGUCCUCAAAAUUCGUGCGAAAUUGAGAAGGGGCCGCGUUUGCAAAAAUAGUCAUUUGGUUAAAUUUGUCAAACAAGGAAAGAAAACUGGAUGUUUGUUUUUGAGUUUCUCAUUCUUUAUAUUAGAAUAUGUGAUACGUUUAAUUUUCAAGUCUGUAUGUUGUCUUUUCGUCAAGUUUGUUAGUUUGGUCAGUUUUUAAACCAUUGUAUUUUGGUUUUAUUAUGAAAUUUGAGAAUCCAAAAAAUGUUUUAUUGUCGUUUAACUUUUAUUGGUCCGAACUACGCACGGUCUGAUUCAUGUCGGGUCAUGAUACGUAGGCAAUCUCCAUAAGAUUCGACCACAACAAAAAAAAAAUAAUAAUGGAAAUGAAAAAAACAAAAGAUGUUAUUAAUAAUGAGGACCGACUAAGUCCAUUCUAACAUAUUUUGUUUUGCAUUUUGAGAAAGCUGGGGAAAUCGACUUGUGGUAAGCUGGAAGCACAAGAUUCAGGAAAAUUUGAUUCAAGACAAUGACACCCAGAAUAUCACGCUGAAUCCUUUACAAACACAUGAUGAUGCACACUUUGUGGGGAUGAUGCCUGGUGACAUGGGGUAUGAGAAUCUUUUUAGGAAUGUACUAACUAAACCUGAAGAUCUUGAAGCAGAUAGUCGUAUUGGCAAUAUGGAUGCAAAGCUUAAUGGCUAAAAAUGUCGUGCUUGUUAAUUGGAAAGACGCUCCAUGUAUGGGUCAAUGGGAGAGAGUCUUGGUCGUGGGCUCUGAUUUUUUUUCUUGUUUUCUGGAUCAUUCCGGGGUUGUAAUCCGGUUUCUUUUAUUUUGUCCUUGUCAAAGGAUGAAACCUUGUUUUCCG